CCGUCGCCAAAAAAUAACUUCUUAUGCUUAUCACUCAAGAAAAAGAAGCUUGAAGAUUUAAUGAACAAUAACAGUUGAUGCCAAUUGUUAACAGUGAAGAAGAACAAAUUUUUUCUUUAAUUUCUAAAUUUCAAACUCUCAAUAAUUCUUAAGAUUCAAAAGUCUUUUUUCUUUCUUCCCUCUAGUACUGAAAAUAUUUCUC
rnacentral:lncRNA from 1 species